AGUGGGGUCAACUAAGUAAGUUUUUGGGCCCAUGCCCCAAACAUGAAGGUUAAAAUCCUCCCCCCACUA
rnacentral:tRNA from 1 species